rnacentral:rRNA from 1 species
AAUCAACGCUGGCGGCGUGCCUCAGACAUGCAAGUCGAACGAUUAAACUUCCCUUCGGGGAAGAUAUACAGUGGCGCACGGGUGAGUAACACGUAGGUAAUGUACCUUUGGGUGGGGAAUAACUUAGGGAAACUUAAGCUAAUACCGCAUAAUGCAGCGGCUCCUUCGGGAGACAGUUGUUAAAGAUUUAUCGCCUAAAGAGCAGCCUGCGGCAGAUUAGCUAGUUGGUAAGGUAACGGCUUACCAAGGCUACGAUCUGUAUCCGACCUGAGAGGGUGGUCGGACACACUGACACUGAAUAACGGGUCAGACUCCUACGGGAGGCAGCAGUCGGGAAUGUUGGGCAAUGGGCGAAAGCCUGACCCAGCAACGCCGCGUGAAGGAUGAAGUCUUUCGGGAUGUAAACUUCGUAAGAAUAGGAAGAAUAAAUGACGGUACUAUUUGUAAGGUCCGGCUAACUACGUG